rnacentral:tRNA from 1 species
GGUCUAGUGGUCAGAACGCUGGGCUUAUAAUCCUGGGGUCCCGGGUUCGAUUCCCGG